AUUGAACGCUGGCGGCAGGCCUAACACAUGCAAGUCGAGCGAGCGGCGGACGGGUGAGUAAUGUAUGGGGAUCUGCCUGAUGGAGGGGGAUAACUACUGGAAACGGUAGCUAAUACCGCAUACCAUCAGAUGAACCCAUAUGGGAUUAGCUGGUCGGUGGGGUAACGGCUCACCUAGGCGAAGAUCCCUAGCUGGUCUGAGAGGGGGAACAGCCACCAUGGAACUGAGAAACGGCCCAGACCCCUACGGGAGGCAGCAGUGGGGAAUAUUGCACAAUGGGCGCAAGCCUGAUGCAGCCAGGCCGCGUGUAUGAAGAAGGCCUUCGGGUUGUAAAGUACUUUCAGUCGGGAGGCGUUACCGACAGAAGAAGCACCGGCUAACUCCGUGCCAGCAGCCGCGGUAAUUC
rnacentral:rRNA from 1 species